rnacentral:rRNA from 1 species
GUGCCAGCCGCCGCGGUAAUACGUAGGUGGCAAGCGUUAUCCGGAAUUAUUGGGCGUAAAGCGCGCGUAGGCGGUUUUUUAAGUCUGAUGUGAAAGCCCACGGCUCAACCGUGGAGGGUCAUUGGAAACUGGAAAACUUGAGUGUAGAAGAGGAAAGUGGAAUUCCAUGUGUAGCGGUGAAAUGCGCAGAGAUAUGGAGGAACGCCAGUGGCGAAGGCGACUUUCUGGUCUGUAACUGACGCUGAUGUGCGAAAGCGUGGGGAUCAAACAGGAUUAGAU